CGCCCCUCCCCGCACACACACCCUCACAGGAAAGUUCCCCAGCCCGGGCCGGGCUCCCAGGCAGCUUGGCGCCAUGCCAGGCUCGCCGCCGAGCGCGGGCAGCCGGGUGGGGUGAGCAGCGGCGACACUGAGGACGUGGCCGGGCACCCUGGGCGCCAGCAGGACCCAAGGCCCGGAGGCCGGGGCCCAGAAGGCUGUGUUCGGGUGGCUGUGUUUCGGCUCUUGGCUGCAGCUGGUUAAUUUUUCCGAAUCUGUACAUCCAGGUGUGCACUGAGAAGUUUUUUCCCAACGCAAGAUGUUUCCCCGUGAGCCUUGGGGUCCUCCUAGAAAUGUGUGUGUGAGAGACUGCCAAUUUCAGAGAAGUUGUGAGUGAGAGGAAGAGGUGGCCGUGCCUGCGUCCACUGCCUCCCCUCAGACACCGAGUCUGGGAAGGACUUUGGAAGCAGAAUCUUGGAGCUUGUUUAGAAUACAGAGCUGAAAAACGGACGAAUGGCUGAAAUGUUAGCAGCUACAUUGACGGUAGUUGAAAAUCCCUCUCUCUGAACAUCGUUGGAAGCCAAGCACAGCUGUGAACAUGCUUGUCCACAUCUCUGGUUAUUUUCAAAUAUAUCUAAAAAAUAUAUGUUCAUCAUGUAAAAAUUAUUUAGACCCUUAUUUUCAAGUCUAAUGUCAUCCACUGUCUGAUUGCUUACAUGACCUCUUUCUUUUGGUUAAAAAAAAUGAACUUCAUGUUUCUUUAAAAUUAGGAAUUACACCAAAAGUUGCUCUAUAAAUAGCAAGAAACAAAACAGAACAAAAGCAUUGGCUUUCUUUUUUAGUAUUUUAUUUUGCAGCCAUUAAAUAUUAUCUUGUGAUAAAUUUAGGCGAGACAUUUUUUCACUUUUUAUAGAAAGGGCAUAUGUGAAAAAUCCAACCUUAAUCUUAUCUUUCUGUUAACCAGAUCUAAAAGCUAUAAUAUUUAUUCAUAGUCAGGAAAAUGAAACUGUCAUUAUGCAUAAGGUGAAGUACUUCUGCUGUGUGAAAUCAUGUUAGAGUUUAAAAAAAAAAUGGGAAUAUUUCAAUAAAUAAGACCAGUGUGGUCAAAUUUCAAACAAUUUGUAAUUGACACUCCCAUUCCCUAAGUCCUUCUUUCUGUAUGGAUUCAUUUCGCAGGCAGUUUAGGUCUUGUUGCAGUCAUUUUAAAGAUGUAAUCUGUGAAAUCUUUAUUUAAAAAAUAAGUUCCUGCUAUGCCUUACAAUUUAGCAGUGAACCAUCUGAAUUCUAAAUCAGGGUUUUUUCCUUUCUUUUUUUCUUUAGUCUAGAGGGGUUAUAAUUUAUCUAGCUCACUGAAGGACUAAGAAAUGAUAUUAAAAUUCCCAUUUUGUCUGCGGGGAAGAAAAAAAAUUCUAUACUGAUUUUCAUUAGCAUUUCAGCAUUAUUUAAACUAAAAAUAAUAUAAACAUUUGACAGUUUUAAAAACUGCUUUCAAUUCUUAAUUGCUAAAUUCUGCUUAGAUAUAAUUUUAAAAUAAUAAUGACUAAUAAUGACUAUCAGACUCCUAUAAAGGAUUGAUAAGAUAUAAAAAGUACUUCCAAAAAAUCGAUAGUUUUCAACCGUGAAAGGAAGGCAUUCCUUGAAAACUGAGGGAGUGAAAUUCUUUUCAGAUUUUCUGAUGUCUUUUAGCUCUUGUGGAAAUUAGUACCUCCUUCUACCAGAAACUGUUACAGUUCAAAUUCUAAUAUAUCUUUAAUUGCUAAAAAAAAAAAAUUGCUAUGAGCCGCACAAUAAAUUCUUUAGAAAAAUGUUAAUUUCCCAAUUUAUGAUGAUUCCAUUUUAGAAAUUGCAGAAUUGAGCAACCUAAAUACAUAAAUUCAUCACCCACAUCUUUUUGAAAGGUAAUUUUGAUGUUUUAAAAAAUUUAGUUUGUACUGUGCUUUUUCUCAUUCCUUAUAUUAAGCCAGGAAUAUAGCUUUGGCAUUUGAUACAUGCAUAUAUAACCAGGGAUACUGGCCCAUCUUCUUUAAUUCGUAUUUUCUGAUUUGUGCUUCUCACUAUUUUGGAAUGGAAAAGAUGCACUGUAAUUCCUCAUUGGUAAGGGGAAAUUUCUCAUCCUAACACAUACGUAUUAUGUGCAGUAUAUUCACAUAUUUAUAUCCAUGAUCGAACACACAUUUAUUUUAGGCUUCUAGUUGUUGGAUGCUCUCCUCUUAAUUGAAAAAUAUUAACUCCUUAAAGAAUGCCCUCGGGGUUAAUAGACUUUUUUGAUAUACACGCACAGGUAACAUUAUGGAACGCGAACAUGUAGACUUCCAAAGUGUGUUUAAUACGAUGAAGCAGCCACUCACAGACGCUUUCUACCCAGGCAGGUGACUGCGUGGCGUGGCGCUCCCCCGCCAGUCUCGCGUCGCGGUCGGAAGCGGGCACACUGAGUCUGUUCUUUGUACGUGCGCACAUUUCUUUUUGAGAAAGCGAGCAUAGAAGUGCCCUGCCAGCACGCUUUUUUUGUGGGGACGAGGGCUGGAUACCAGUGCAGUAUCCUGCCCUGUGCUUUGUCCCUCAAUAUGCUUGUCCCAUGCCCGGAGUUUCCUUUCUAUUGUUCGUUAACUCAAAAACCAAGUAACCUAAAGCAAAAGGUUCUGAAAAAUGCUUCUUUACGUUUGGAAGGAAAGAAUCCUUUCUAUGGAUACUUGCUCACUUUUCUUUAACUACUCUGAGACCAUAGAAACUAUUUUACUCACCUGAAGGCUUCUGUCCCCUCUCUGUAAGGAAAAAAAAAAAAAAAAAGCUUACCUAAGGUAAAUUGAUGCUAAUAGGUUUGCGGGUUAAAAUGAAGGCUUCAGAAAGCAAGGGUGCAAGUUAUUACGAAAUAGAUGGGUCAAAAUGGAAUCCCAAACCUACAAAGUGCUCUGUGACAAAGGCAAAAGACAGAAAGAAAACCGUGAGCCUGGGCUGCUUUUCCGCACGGCGCCCAGAGCUCUGCAGAGGCUGCCCAAAAGGGCGCUGUCUGGGAUGACUGAAAGGGUGGCAUCUUACCCACGAGCUGCCACAAGCUGGCCACCUCCGGUUUACUGGGCUAGUUUUUAAAGCAUCGGAGUCUUGGGGUGCGCAAGUCGAAUGUCUAAAACCCAACUGAACAUGUAAGUUUCCACUCACACUUCAUCCUGCUUACUUUAAUUAGAUUAAAUGCAUCUGUGUACCAAGUCCUCCUAAUGCUUUGCACACCGAAAAUUUUAAACUAUUAAACGUCGCUAGGUUAAGAACAGGGAAACUAAACUCAAGUGCCCCGGCCUUGUGAGGCUGGACUGUGGCUGAAAGCCGUGCUGGAGCACAGCAGGAAGUGGCCGGCCGCAUUCCCAUUGGGCAAAUCUUGGGAGAAAUCAGGAAAAAAUAACUGUAUAAGGCUGGUACUAUAAACAUCCUGGUAUAGCGAGAGCCUUCCUAUGACUUAUUUUUCAAAUAUCUGACCACGGGCAUGGUGCGGCCCACAGGCAGAGACCAAGUUCUUCCUCCAAGAAAGCUGUUCAUCAGAAUAGUCAUCCAACAAAGUCAAUUUCCACGUUUUCUUUUUGCUAAUGUGAGCGCCCUUUUAAAAAUUCAUUUACUUUGAAUAAUACAAUAUGAUAGGGAGUUGGAAAAAGACUUUACAAACCUGAAACCUGAAAAAUACCCAACAGAACAGGAGUGCUAUUAUUUUCCUUACGUAAAGCAGAAUUUGAUUUCUGAAUUUGCAACCAAAUUAUAUGUAAAUCCUUGCCAAGUAUAGAGAGGAUAAAAAAGUGUGUGUUCUUGAAUAUUAUUCUGACUCACCCAAUUUCUUGUUUUACCAAAUAAAAAUUGGGAGGAGGAAAAAUUAACUUAUUACUGUGUGUGAGAGCAAGAAAAAAAAAAAAUUCAGCUAAUAAAAAGGUUAGCAAGCCAGUACAAUUACACAAUGAUUUCAGGUGAAAAUUACAAAGCUAAUAUCUUGGCAUUUAGUCAUUGCCUUCAUAAUGAUACAGUUGUCAAAUCGGUAUUUGUGCCAAUGGAACAAGAGUUGUAAGUGGCAUAAUGGAAGAUAAUCUUUUUCUUUGUGGCUUUUUAAAUUCAGUGUUUUAAUCCACCCAUUUAAUCACACAACAUAUAUCACAUUAGUUAUAAUAUUUAUAGUGUUUAGGAAAGUGAUUAUAAAUAGAUUAUAGUGUGGUGGUUGAAUGUGUUGGUUGUAGUAUUUGUCUCUGUGUGUGUGUGUGUGUGUGUGUGUGUGUGUGUGUGUGUGUGAAUUUAUCUCAAAGGUAUGAAGCCUUUCUGGAGUUUGCACUUGGGAAUGAUUUUCCGUGAGAAGAGUCACCAGAUAUUUAUUUUCAAAAUCUCCAUUUGGCCCUUACCAAGCUGGCUGAUUAUUUUGGAAAAACAGAGAUUUGGUAUUAAAAGGGCCCGGUAUGUCCAGUGUUUAGAUCUCUGUAUCCAGCCUGGUCUCUGAGGCAUUUCUGUUGCUCUAGUCCCCAAAGUUGCUAAACCACAAAAUGUCUUUAAUAUGUUUUUUUAUAAAGUAGUUGAACCAUACAGUAAAGAUGGGGAAAGGGGGACUUUAUAAUGGCAGUUAGUGGUUGGGUUCUUCCUUGGUGUGGCCAGAGCAGGAGGAGGUGACGGCAGGGUCUGUGUGGCUUGGGCGGGGGCGCCCUGCAGUACUCAUCUCAUGGGAAUGUGUCCUCUUCCCCCAUACGUCCUGGUCAGGGCUGGCAACUGUCACAGUGGAGAAAAUUAUAAAGGACGGCACUAAGGAGAGAUUGGUUUUUCCUGCCGUCUUGUUGGAACGUGGCUAAGGCUGCUGGGAGUCCUUUUCUGAGGAAGGGGAGCACAGAAUUCAUGGGCUUCCCAAGGGGACCCCACAGCCCUGGAAGCUGGGAAGGGUCACCCCGAACCUUCCUCAGGGCAGGAGCAAAACCCACUCCAUCGUGGAACUACCCCAGCUUGGGCCCUCUCACUUGGUGUCAGCAGCCAUAGAAAGUGAAAGUUGGUCAGGGUUUCGGUGAAAAGAUUAAUCAGAAAACAUUUCCACUCCACUCUCUAAAACUGAAUUUUCUCAUGGCUGGGGGUGGGGGGUGGAAUGUCUGUCCCUACAAAGAAGAGGCCAUUAGGAAGAUUCUAACACACAAGAAAGUAAUUUUGGAAGAUUUCUUAAUCCAUCCUAUUUCCCCCCCUCCUUCCCUUCCUCCUCCCCACAUCGUAUAUGUCAUACGGUGGUGGCAGUCAUGUGUGUGUGUGUGUGUGUCUAGCACGAUUCAACGCCAAGGUCAGGGUGGGCCUAGGGAGCCUCCUAGGUGGGUCAGUGGGCAAGGGAGGCCCUGGCCUGAGCUGCUUCGCCUGCCCCAGCCCAGCCUGGCACCAUGGCGGGUACCCCCUGCCUGGGCAGUCCAGUGUGGAAUGAAGUUUCCUGGGAAGCAGGGCGCACGAGGAACUUUUGAAUUUACCAAUGGCAUAAAAAGUAUAUAUAUUUUUAUGACAACGGGCAAGUUCUAAUUGGUUGACAGAGAUGGCGAGAUGUGACGUCAAGGGACACUGGUUAGAAUGCCAAGGCCGGCUGGGCUGGGGGGGCGGGGAGAGACAGGCCCAGAGAGACACUGGGAUGGGGCCCAGGAGGCCUCCUUUCACUUGGGCCCCUGUCGCGGGCACUGGGUACAACCAGGUCCAUUUGGCUCUGAGAGAGGGCAUGCCCCGGGUAGGGGGAUGGGGUCCAUGCAGGGUGACCCCGUGUCGGCGUCCCCAAGCGCCAGGAAUCACUCAGGCGCCCCUACAGAAUAGCCAAAAAAAAAAAAAAAAA